rnacentral:rRNA from 1 species
UUUUAAGGUAAGAAAAUCAAUUUUAAUGUUGGGAUUAAGUAUAUAUAAGAAAUUAAGUUAUAACUAUAGAGUAAAGUAUUGUAAAAGAAUUUUGAAAUAAAAUGAAAAAUUAAAUUAGAUGAAAGUAGGAUUUGGAGUCUGUACCUUGGGUGUCAGGGAGAAUCAAAAUUUGUUAAAUAUUGUAAAAAUCUCGAUAGACAGAUAGCUAAUUACUUGAGGAGUUUUUGUUGUAAAAUUAUUCGGAACUGGUAAUUGGUGGUGAAAUGUCAACCGUGCUGUUGUAUCUAGUUCUUUUUGAAAAAAGUUUAAUUUUGUUUUUGGGUCGAAGAACUCAAGAGGUUAAGGCAGGGUGGUUGAGCACCUUGUUUGAUUAGCAAGAGAAGUGAGCAUAAUCUAGGAUUAUAUAAGGAUUAGGUAUAGAAGUAGCCAUAAUUAAUAGUGUGUUUUUACUAAUAAAUUGUAAAGGAGAUUUAUAAAUGUUCUUUUGAAGUAGAAGGGUUAUAAGAUGAAUAAGUUAGCUUAUGAGAAAAUGAUUCUAUUAGUAUAUUAUUAUUGUGAGUGAAAAAGUAAGUUUAAGAAUAAAAAUUUAAAUACAAAGUGUUAUAGUAAAGGAACUCGGCAAAUAUAAAUUCCGCCUGUUUAUCAAAAACAUGUCUGUAUGGAAGAUAUACAGUCUGGCCUGCCCACUGAUUGUUUAAAGGGCCGCGGUAUACUAACCGUGCGAAGGUAGCAUAAUCAUUAGUCUUUUAAUAGGAGUCUGGUAUGAAUGGUUGUACGAGAAUUUAACUGUCUUUAUUAUAAAAAUUGAAAUUAACUUUUAAGUUAGAAGGCUUAAAUGAAUUAGGGGGACGAUAAGACCCUAUAAAGCUUUAUAUUAUUAGCUAUGUUAGAAGAUAAAGACAAUUAAAUUUUAAAAUAGCUGGAGUAUUGUGCUGGGGCGGCAAAGAUAUGUUGAGUAACUGUUUAUAAACGUAACACUUAUUUGUGAAAUUUAAUUGAUCCUUGUUGAAGAUUAGAAGGUAAAGUUACUUUAGGGAUAACAGCGUAAUCUUUCUUGAGAGUUCAAAUCGAGAGAAGGGGUUGCGACCUCGAUGUUGAAUUAAAAUUCCUUUUUAGUGCAGAAGUUAAAAAAGGAGGUCUGUUCGACCUUUGAAAUUUUACAUGAUUUGAGUUCAGACCGGCGCGAGCCAGGUCGGUUUCUAUCUCUUAAAAAAGUUUGAACUUUCUUAGUACGAAAGGAUUAGAGAGUUAAAAUAAUUUCUU